GGGGGCGAUGGGUCUCGACGGGAAGUGCGGUGUCAGAGGGAGCGAGCCGAGGUUUCUACCGCCUCGUUAAUAAGGUAGAAGGCGUACAAACGCCAACGACAAUCUCGCUUACGCUGCGUAACUAACCACGCGGCCGUCCGCCUGAUCCCAGCCUGCGGGAACAGAUCCGGGCGUUAUUUAGCAGGCUAGCAAGGCCCCAAUUCUCGGAGGGGCGGCGCGAAUUCUGAUCGAGAUAGCCUGACAGGCAUCCGGCCGGCGGGAGGCCUGUCAGGCAAAUGCAAAUUGCCGGCUGCGCUCGGAGUGCCUUCUGGGGCUGCCUUUUCGGACGCGGGGUUCGACACCCCGCCGCCUCCACCA
rnacentral:tmRNA from 1 species